GACCCAUUAUCAAAAGAUCGUAUUAUAUCAAGAGUACUUACUUCCAGAGAGAUUAAAAUUGUGUCUCUCGCAGUGUGAUUUUUUGUCCAACUUGCUGCAUAUUUCGCCGUACACGGACAUAUCACAAAAUAUAUGAAAUCUACAAAUCGUUAUAGUUGUUUACAUUUGCCAAGGAGACGCAAAGUGCCGGGGAAUAUUUCCCCGGUAGUUAGUUAGGAAUCUGUCCAAUUAGCAUCCAGUAAUCAACAAGAGUUCAAUUUCCCGACCGGGAUAAUUAUUUUCCCGCUCUUUUCUUCAAUUUUUUGUUGAGAUUUUGUACUUCAGGUUUCAGCACAAAAUUUUCUUGAUUAAAUGUGGAUUUUUUACAGAAAAAUGCCAGACGAGUACCGGUGUUCUGGUUUAGAAUAUAUAUUUGCAGGUAAGGUUGUGUCUUAUGGACUUUUAUGUUAUAUUUUUGGUAUAUUGCAUUCAAUUUUUUACAAACAAGCCUGUGGCGGUUUCGCGUUUAAACAGGCUGAACACACGGCGACUGUCCAGGCUGUCAACAUUUAAAAUCCUUCUAGUGCAGAUUGGAAUAGUAUUUCUUUCUUUUAAGACUGAAAUGGACCUUCGGCAACUUUUACAUGAUGUGCCAGGCGAGUUUUUUUCCAGAAUGAAGGCAGCCUUUCUUGAGAAAGACGGUUCAAAGACCAAGAGUCCAAGUAUUAUUAAAAAUAGCAGUUUACCCCACUGUCAAAUAAACCAGGACGAAAUCUGCCCUGUUUUUCACAAAAAUUAGCUUCUGUUUGUGUAUAAAAUUUAUAAAAUGCAAUACAUUUAUAGUCAAAAGAGGACAACCUUUGAUGCGUGUUGAAGGUUUUAUAUUUUAGAAUCUGAUACAAGUUUUUUAUAUUAUUCAGUAGAAGAAGAAUUGGUCAUAGCUUUCUUUGCAGCACCAGCGAUGGCUCGAGCUUCAAAUAAUUAAGGUGAAAAAUUAUUAUUUUUAUUCACUGUAGAGUAUAAAGCUAUGGUAUCUUAUGGGGCCUGGAUAUGUAUUCCCUUGCAAAUUUUUCCUUUUUCCCCCACAAAGAUUUCACCAUGUUUCCUUGUUUUCCCAACUUUAUGGUCCCUUGUUUUUUUAUCAUUUUUUUUCUUUGAAUUCUGUUUGCAAAAUAUGCAUUGUUCUCUGGUUUCCUAAAACCAGCCCUGGGAAACCCUCAGUACAGUCUCACAAUUAUUUGGUGUUAAGAAUUUUAGGACCCAAAGGCAACUGACAAUGGCUUCCUCUAUGAAUUCCAUUUCAGAACCAUGAAAAACUAGUUUGAUAUAAAUAUUAUAAUAUGAAAUAAGUUCCUCUAUGAACAUUGCCAGGUUUUUGCAGCUAUGAAUACUCAAGUCACAACUUAGAAAACCAAUAGUAAAAUUGUCUUAGACGUAGUACAAGCUUCACAUGUGCCAUGUGGUAAAUGCUUAUUAUUUCAUAUUGUAGGUUGAUACUAGCAUGCCAAGACACUAGGAAAAGAAUCAGCCUGGAUAUGGAUUAUAUGGUCAUGAUGAUGCCUAUAACACGCCAUUUGAAACCGAUUGUCUUAUAUCAAGAUCUUGAGUUGGUUUGAUGUCGAUAAGUGUCAACUAUGUCAUGCUGUAUAAAUAAAUUCAUCAAAAAAGGAUCACCAUCGAAAAAGGGUUACCAUCAACAGAUUCUGGGCGAAUGUAAUGACAGGCACUUUAUUUAUUUGCUGCCUACAUGCAACAUUAUUUCUUUAGCAAGGGGGUCUACUGUAUAUUGAUUAAUUUAAUACUGUCUUUGUUUUUUCCCUAUCCUUGUCUCAUUGUACAUGCCAAAGCUGCCUCUCUUUGACAAGUAAAAUUUGUGGUGUGAGGCAGUCAAGUAUUAUUGCAUAUUGUUAUAAACAGAAUACCUUGCUUGUAAUGGGCUAACAAACAACAUAAUUCCUACUUUUCAAUUUCAAAAAUCCAGGGCAAAUUACAGUCCAUAAGGCUAUAAUGCAUAUAUAUAUAUGGCUUAAUGUGACUACAGUACUUUGUCAGUUUACUGUGUCUAUAUACAAGAAAAUUUACUUGUCAAGGGAGAAAUGUUGGGUAUUAAUGAGUUAAUUUCAGUAGUAAUUCACUGAGAUGAAAUUAUUAAUUCAAUUGCAUGCAAGAUUAGGAAAUAUCUUGCUUCGUCUGUUACUAUAAUCAGGAUGAUACCAUAUGUAACUAAAGGUUCAAGGUACUGUACUUUACAUUUACUGAAGUUCUAACAUUGUAAUAGUACUUGUUGUCU
rnacentral:lncRNA from 1 species